rnacentral:rRNA from 1 species
GUAGUCUCGCACAGAUGCAUAUCAAUAAGCGGAGGAAAAGAAACUAACAAGGAUUCCCCUAGUAACGGCGAGUGAAGCGGGAAGAGCUCAAAUUUGAAAUCUUAAAGGGUUUCCCUUUACGAAUUGUAGUUUAAAGAAGUGUUUUCUGUUGAGGUUUUGGUAAAAGUUCUUUGGAAUAGGACAUCAUAGAGGGUGAGAAUCCCGUAUUUGACCUUUACUUUCAACUUUGUGAUACACUUUCAAAGAGUCGGAUUGUUUGGGAAUGCAGUCCAAAAUGGGUGGUAAAUUUCAUCUAAAGCUAAAUAUUGGCGAGAGACCGAUAGCGAACAAGUACCGUGAGGGAAAGAUGAAAAGAACUUUGAAAAGAGAGUUAAACAGUACGUGAAAUUGUCAAAAGGGAAGCGUUUGACACCAGUGUUGUUUUUCUGAAAAUCAAUUAAAGAACUGUUUAUGCUAAGCUGUUUAGACUUUAUCAGCUAUCUGUUUAGUUUUGAGCUUUUCUUUAAUGCACUUUUCAGUUAACAAGUCAACAUCAAUUUCUUUUGCUGUAAAAAAGCUUGAGGAAGGUGGCUUGAGAUUCGUCUUAAGUGUUUAUAGCCUCUUGCCUAUGCAGUCGGAGAGAUUGAGGUCUGCAGCGUAGAUCCUUCGGGGCUAAAUGCAUUUGUGCUAAGUUAUAGCAUUUUAUAGACAACUUGUUGACUAUGAUUUGUCUUGUAGCUUACUCGCUUAUGUUAUUUUACCUACGCUUAGGAUGUUGAUGUGAUACUGCGAGCA